GACAGAGGGUGCAAGCGUUGUUCGGAAUUAUUGGGCGUAAAGGGCGCGUAGGCGGCUGAGCAAGUCGAACGUGAAAUCCCUGGGCUUAACCCAGGAAGUGCAUUUGAUACUGCUCAACUUGAGUCCCGGAGAGGGUGGUGGAAUUCCCAGUGUAGAGGUGAAAUGCGCAGAUAUCAGGAGGAACACCGGUGGCGAAGGCGGGUCUCUGGGCCGAUACUGACACUGAGGAGCGAAAGCCAGGGGAGCAAACGGG
rnacentral:rRNA from 1 species